rnacentral:rRNA from 1 species
AUUGAACGCUGGCGGCAGGCCUAACACAUGCAAGUCGAGCGGAUGACAGGAGCUUGCUCCUUGAUUCAGCGGCGGACGGGUGAGUAAUGCCUAGGAAUCUGCCUGGUAGUGGGGGACAACGUUUCGAAAGGAACGCUAAUACCGCAUACGUCCUACGGGAGAAAGCAGGGGACCUUCGGGCCUUGCGCUAUCAGAUGAGCCUAGGUCGGAUUAGCUAGUAGGUGAGGUAACGGCUCACCUAGGCGACGAUCCGUAACUGGUCUGAGAGGAUGAUCAGUCACACUGGAACUGAGACACGGUCCAGACUCCUACGGGAGGCAGCAGUGGGGAAUAUUGGACAAUGGGCGAAAGCCUGAUCCAGCCAUGCCGCGUGUGUGAAGAAGGUCUUCGGAUUGUAAAGCACUUUAAGUUGGGAGGAAGGGCAGUAAGUUAAUACCUUGCUGUUUUGACGUUACCGACAGAAUAAGCACCGGCUAACUCUGUGCCAGCCGCCGCGGUAAUAC